rnacentral:rRNA from 1 species
AGAGAGAGACAUGCGCGCAUAUCAAUAAGCGGAGGAAAAGAAACUAACUAGGAUUCCCUCAGUAACGGCGAGUGAAGCGGGAAGAGCUCAAAUUUGAAAUCUUCAAGGUUCUACCUUGACGAAUUGUAGUUUAAAGAAGUGUUUUCUGUAGUGGAGUUUGGUAAAAGUUCUUUGGAAUAGGACAUCAUAGAGGGUGAGAAUCCCGUAUUUGACCAUUAUUUCCAGCUUUGUGAUACACUUUCAAAGAGUCGGAUUGUUUGGGAAUGCAGUCCAAAAUGGGUGGUAAAUUUCAUCUAAAGCUAAAUAUUGGCGAGAGACCGAUAGCGAACAAGUACCGUGAGGGAAAGAUGAAAAGAACUUUGAAAAGAGAGUUAAACAGUACGUGAAAUUGUCAAAAGGGAAGGCGUUUGACACCAGUGUUGUUUUCUCGAAAAUCAAUUAAAAAAGACUGGAUUUUGUGUUGUAUUGACUUUAUCAGCUUUCUGCACUUUUUUCCUGUCUUUUUUAAUGCACUUUUCGUUUAACAAGUCAACAUCAAUUUCUUUUGUUGUAAAAGAGUCAUUGGAAGGUGGCUUUCUUUUCGGAGAAAGUGUUUAUAGCCUUUGACUUCUGCAAUCGGAGAGAUUGAGGUCUGCAGCGUAGAUCCUUCGGGGUUAGAUACAUUUGUGCUAAGCUAUAGCCUUUCAUAGACAACUUGUUGACUAUGAUCAGUCAUGUAGCUUACUCGCUUAUGCUAUUUUACCUACGCUUAGGAUGUUGACAGCAGUAUAGACUGU